rnacentral:rRNA from 1 species
GUGGGGAAUAUUGGACAAUGGGCGAAAGCCUGAUCCAGCCAUGCCGCGUGUGUGAAGAAGGUCUUCGGAUUGUAAAGCACUUUAAGUUGGGAGGAAGGGCAGUAAGUUAAUACCUUGCUGUUUUGACGUUACCGACAGAAUAAGCACCGGCUAACUUCGUGCCAGCAGCCGCGGUAAUACGAAGGGUGCAAGCGUUAAUCGGAAUUACUGGGCGUAAAGCGCGCGUAGGUGGUUUUGUAAGUUGGAGGUGAAAUCCCCGGGCUCAACCUGGGAACUGCCACCAAAGCUGCAUGACUAGAGUACGGUAGAGGGUAGUGGAAUUUCCUGUGUAGCGGUGAAAUGCGUAGAUAUAGGAAGGAACACCAGUGGCGAAGGCGACUACCUGGACUGAUACUGACACUGGGGUGCGAAAGCGUGGGGAGCAAACAGGAUUAGAUACCCUUGUAGUCC